GAUUACUUCACCCUUAAGUCCAAGCCAUCUGCUCAGGGUUUGGUUUUCUGGACUCUCAACCAUUCUAUCCACUGGCAUUAUUAGCCAAUUGUUGCACAUCUACAGCUUAUUUACUAUGCUGUCAGCCACACAAGUGCCCCUGUUGAGCCUUAAUUAUUUUGUGUUGAGUGCGAAUGCAGUAGGUGGCAACGGAGAUAUAAGAUUAUGAAGACUUCUAUUACAAUCCUAGAUGUGUAGACUAGA